UUAUUAUGGAGAGUUUGAUCCUGGCUCAGGACGAACGCUGGCGGCGUGCCUAACACAUGCAAGUCGAACGGGGAUUUUGUUUCGGCAGAAUCCUAGUGGCGAACGGGUGAGUAACGCGUAGGCAACCUGCCCUCCGGCCGGGGACAACACUCCGAAAGGGGUGCUAAUACCGGAUACGAAGUCUGUGCCGCAUGGUACGGAUUUGAAAGAUGGCCUCU
rnacentral:rRNA from 1 species